AGGAUGAACGCUGGCGGUCUGCUUAACACAUGCAAGUCGAACGGAGUAGCAAUACUUAGUGGCGGACGGGUGAGUAACGCGUGAGAAUCUACCUUCAGGACGGAGACAACAGUUGGAAACGACUGCUAACCCCCGAUGUACCGAAAGGGCAAAUAUUUAUAGCCUGAAGAAGAGCUCGCGUCCGAUUAGCUAGUUGGAGAGGUAAAAGCUCACCAAGGCGACGAUCGGUAGCUGGUCUGAGAGGACGAUCAGCCACACUGGGACUGAGACACGGCCCAGACUCCUACGGGAGGCAGCAGUGGGGAAUAUUGCACAAUGGGCGAAAGCCUGAUGCAGCGACGCCGCGUGAGGGAUGAAGGCCUUCGGGUUGUAAACCUCUUUCAGCAGGGACGAAGCGAAAGUGACGGUACCUGCAGAAGAAGCACCGGCCAACUACGUGCCAGCAGCCGC
rnacentral:rRNA from 1 species